ACCCAGGUGGCUCAGUCGGUUGGGUGUCUGACUUCGGCUCAGGUCAUGACCCUCGCAGUUCGUGGGUUCGAGCCCCGCAUUGGGCU
rnacentral:tRNA from 1 species